rnacentral:tRNA from 1 species
GGCUUCAUAGCUCAGUUGGUUAGAGCGACGCACCUGUUUUGCGAGGUCAUGGAUUCUAACCCCGAUGAAGCCC